GGUAACUUUCCAUUGUUGUGGUUGCGAGCCACUGAAUUUCUGUAGCAACGUCUGUCAGUCAAUGAAGUUCAACGGUGUAAUGCGACUGCGAUAUUGGGAAUAAUUCCACGUUCUAAUAAUUUUAUGUAAAUGUUUAUAGUCGUAAAAAAAUUGGCAAAAACAUAGAACUAAUUUAAAUUGGGUUUUUUGAUUGAUAAGUAUGAAAAGAGGGUAAAUCUAAAGGUAAGUGGAAUAGAUUUUGAACCAGAUUGAUGUUUUUUUAUUUUCACGGUCGAAAUAUGAUGCCACAGCCGGAAAACAGUAGGAAGCCGUCACCGUUUCCCGAGUUGUUCCACUCCUAGAGCUUUAACUCCUGAUAUAACCCCUGUCAAUUCUGCGCUGGUAUGUCGCCAAUAAAAGAUAUAGAAUAUCUCUUUGUAAAGACGUAGGAACGAGAUAAUGGGGGUUCCUUAUUACCAUUAGGUUCAGUUCGAGAGCGCGUUGCGGCAGCAUUACAUUUACACAUUUCUACGCUCAGCAGAAUUUCCCAAGCUGUUAAACAAAACGAAGCUUUGAUAUCGCAGAUCUUGUAUUUGCAUCUAAAAGUACUGGCGAUUACCAUGGAGAAAUGAAUCGUGAAAAUUGUUUACAUUGGUUUGAAAAACAAUUAUCAGUAAAUUUAGAAGAACCAAGUGUUAUCGUAUUGGACAAUGCUUCUUACUAUAACACCUUAUUGACAUAAAAUCCGAACAACUCGUGGAGAAAACCAGAUUUUCAAGAUUGGUUACACAAUAAACUUAAACUUGCGAUUGUUAAUCUCAGAAAUGUGGAAAAAUUCAAUUAAUCACACCGAAAAGAUAAUAAAGGAAUGGUAUGAACGCGAAAAACAAUUGGAUAUUGCAGAAAUGGUCCCAAUCAUUAUAAACUGGGUGAAAAUGAUAGUUGAGUGAUGAAAAUAAAACUGCAAUUACCUAAGUCACGAGAACUGUGUAUUAAAAUUUAUUUUCUUUUAUGUUAACAAAAUGGAAUGUUACGUAGUCUGAAAAGUAUCUUUCACCUUUUUACGAUCAUAUCAGCUUAUGUUGAUUAUCAUUUUAUGUAGUUCAAUAAAAUUUCUUGUGGUUU